AUACGGAGGGGGUUAGCGUUGUUCGGAAUUACUGGGCGUAAAGCGCACGUAGGCGGACUGGAAAGUUGGGGGUGAAAUCCCGGGGCUCAGCCCCGGAACUGCCUCCAAAACUUCCAAUCUAGAGAUCGAGAGAGGUGAGUGGAAUUCCAAGUGUAGAGGUGAAAUUCGUAGAUAUUUGGAGGAACACCAGUGGCGAAGGCGGCUCACUGGCUCGAUACUGACGCUGAGGUGCGAAAGCGUGGGGAGCAAACAGGAUUAGAAACCCUAGUAGUCC
rnacentral:rRNA from 1 species